UCAGGUGAUCAAAAUAGGGCCAUCUUGGCCCUCUUGUUUAUUUGAACAUAUAUGAUGUUUACAAUUGACUACUGUUAUGUGACUCAUUUAUGGAAAUGAUUGUGAAACAAAAUGUGCAAAAGAUUUUGCUACUCAAUCCCAUAACUAUUAUGAUUUUUAUGCCCCCCUUCGAAGAAGAGGGGGUAUAUUGCUUUGCUCAUGUCGGUCGGUCGGUCUGUCGGUCGGUCCGUCCACCAGGUGGUUGUCAGACGAUAACUCAAGAACGCUUGGGCCUAGGAUCAUGAAACUUCAUAGGUACAUCGACCAUGACUCGCAGAUGACCCCUAUUGAUUUUGAGGUCACUAGGUCAAAGGUCAAGGUCACGGUGACCCGAAAUAGUAAAAUGGUUUUUGAAUGAUAACUCAAGAAUGCAUACGCCUAGGAUCAUGAAACUUCAUGGGUAGAUUGAUCAUGACUCGCAGAUGACCCCUAUUGAUUUAGAGGUCACUAGGUCAAAGGUCAAGGUCACGGUGACCCGAAAUAGUAAAAUGGUUUCUGGAUGAUAACUCAAGAAUGCAUACGCCUAGGAUCAUGAAACUUCAUGGGUAGAUUGAUCAUAACUCGCAAAUGACCCCGAUAGAUUUUGAGGUCACUAGGUCAAAGGUCAAGGUCACGGUGACCCGAAAUAGUAAAAUGGUUUUCGGAUGAUAACUCAAGAACGCAUAUGCCUAGGAUCAUGAAACUUCACAGGUAGAUUGAUCAUGACUCGCAGAUGACCCCUAUUGAUUUUGAGGUCACAAGGUCAAAGGUUAAGGUCACGGUGACCCAAAAUAGUAAAAUGAUUUUUGGAUGAUACCUCAAGAACGCUUUUGCCUAGGAUCAUGACACUUCAUAGGUACAUUGAUCGUGACACGCAGAUGACCCCUAUUGAUUUUCAGGUCACUAGGUCAAAGGUCAAGGUCACAGUGACAAAAAACGUAUUCACACAAUGGCUGCCACUACAACGGACAGCCCCUAUGGGGGGCAUGCAUGUUUUACAAACAGCCCUUGUUGGCAUUGUGUUGCAUCUCUUUUAUAAUCUGGCACCUUUGAUUGUUAAAAAUAAAAAAUAAAAAUUA